rnacentral:rRNA from 1 species
CCCUUGACAUGUCCGGCUAGCCACAGAGAUGUAGUGUUCCCUUCGGGGACCGGAGCACAGGUGCUGCAUGGCUGUCGUCAGCUCGUGUCGUGAGAUGUUGGGUUAAGUCCCGCAACGAGCGCAACCCUCGCCCUUAGUUGCCAGCAUUCAGUUGGGCACUCUAAGGGGACUGCCGGUGAUAAGCCGAGAGGAAGGUGGGGAUGACGUCAAGUCCUCAUGGCCCUUACGGGCUGGGCUACACACGUGCUACAAUGGUGGUGACAGUGGGCAGCGAAGGAGCGAUCCCGAGCUAAUCUCCAAAAGCCUUCUCAGUUCGGAUUGCACUCUGCAACUCGAGUGCAUGAAGUGGAAUCGCUAGUAAUCGC